rnacentral:rRNA from 1 species
UGGGGAAUAUUGGACAAUGGGCGAAAGCCUGAUCCAGCCAUGCCGCGUGUGUGAAGAAGGUCUUCGGAUUGUAAAGCACUUUAAGUUGGGAGGAAGGGCAUUAACCUAAUACGUUAGUGUUUUGACGUUACCGACAGAAUAAGCACCGACUAACUCUGUGCCAGCAGCCGCGGUAAUACAGAGGGUGCAAGCGUUAAUCGGAAUUACUGGGCGUAAAGCGCGCGUAGGUGGUUUGUUAAGUUGGAUGUGAAAGCCCCGGGCUCAACCUGGGAACUGCAUCCAAAACUGGCAAGCUAGAGUACGGUAGAGGGUGGUGGAAUUUCCUGUGUAGCGGUGAAAUGCGUAGAUAUAGGAAGGAACACCAGUGGCGAAGGCGACCACCUGGACUGAUACUGACACUGAGGUGCGAAAGCGUGGGGAGCAAACA